rnacentral:rRNA from 1 species
GACAGAGGUGGCGAGCGUUGUUCGGAUUUAUUGGGCGUAAAGCGAACGCAGGCGGUUUGGUAAGUCAGAGGUGAAAUUCUACAGCUUAACUGUGGGACUGCCUUUGAUACUGCCUUUCUUGAGUGCAUGAGGGGGAAGCGGAAUUCCGAGUGUAGAGGUGAAAUUCGUAGAUAUUCGGAGGAACACCGGUGGCGAAGGCGGCUUCCUGGCAUGUAACUGACGCUCAUGUUCGAAAGCGUGGGGAG